AAAUUGAAGAGUUUGAUCAUGGCUCAGAUUGAACGCUGGCGGCAGGCCUAACACAUGCAAGUCGAGCGGUAGCACAGAGAGCUUGCUCUCGGGUGACGAGCGGCGGACGGGUGAGUAAUGUCUGGGAAACUGCCUGAUGGAGGGGGAUAACUACUGGAAACGGUAGCUAAUACCGCAUAAUGUCGCAAGACCAAAGUGGGGGACCUUCGGGCCUCAUGCCAUCAGAUGUGCCCAGAUGGGAUUAGCUAGUAGGUGGGGUAACGGCUCACCUAGGCGACGAUCCCUAGCUGGUCUGAGAGGAUGACCAGCCACACUGGAACUGAGACACGGUCCAGACUCCUACGGGAGGCAGCAGUGGGGAA
rnacentral:ncRNA from 1 species